rnacentral:rRNA from 1 species
CAGUAGCCGCGGUAAUACGUAGGUCCCGAGCGUUGUCCGGAUUUAUUGGGCGUAAAGCGAGCGCAGGCGGUUAGAUAAGUCUGAAGUUAAAGGCUGUGGCUUAACCAUAGUACGCUUUGGAAACUGUUUAACUUGAGUGCAAGAGGGGAGAGUGGAAUUCCAUGUGUAACGGUGAAAUGCGUAGAUAUAUGGAGGAACACCGGUGGCGAAAGCGGCUCUCUGGCUUGUAACUGACGCUGAGGCUCGAAAGCGUGGGGAGCAAACAGGAUUAGAUACCCCCGUAGUCCCUGUCUCUUAUACA